rnacentral:tRNA from 1 species
UGUCUGGCAGUCCACUGGUUAGGACUUAGCACUUUCACUGCUGAGGCCCAGGUAUGAUCCCUGGUCAGGGAA